UGGGGAAUAUUGCACAAUUGAGGGAACUCUGAUGCAGCGACGCCGCGUGAGUGAUGAAGGAAUUCGUUUCGUAAAACUCUGUUCUAUGGGAAGAAAAGGACUGUACCAUAGGAGAAAGCUCCGGCUAAAUACGUGCCAGCAGCCGCGGUAAUACGUAUGGAGCGAGCGUUGUCCGGAAUUAUUGGGCGUAAAGGGUGCGCAGGCGGCUUUACAAGUUGGAUGUGAAAUAUUGUGGCUCAACCACAAACGUGCAUCCAAAACUGCAAAGCUUGAGUUAAGGAGAGGUAAGUGGAAUUCCUGGUGUAGCGGUGGAAUGCGUAGAUAUCAGGAGGAAUACCGGUGGCGAAGGCGACUUACUGGACUUAAACUGACGCUCAGGCACGAAAGCGUGGGGAGCAAACAGG
rnacentral:rRNA from 1 species